rfam:Myotis davidii contig142105, whole genome shotgun sequence.
GCCUGUGUGGAUCAGUGGUUGAGCAUCGGCCUAUGAACCCGGAGAUCCAGGUUAAAUUCCUGGUUGGGGCA